rnacentral:rRNA from 1 species
AUUGAACGCUGGCGGGAUGCUUUACACAUGCAAGUCGAGCGGCAGCGCGGGGCAACCUGGCGGCGAGCGGCGAACGGGUGAGUAAUACAUCGGAACAUACCCAGUCGUGGGGGAUAACACAGCGAAAGUUGUGCUAAUACCGCAUACGUCCUGAGGGAGAAAGCGGGGGAUCGCAAGACCUCGCGCGAUUGGAGUGGCCGAUGGCGGAUUAGCUAGUUGGUAGGGUAAAGGCCUACCAAGGCGACGAUCCGUAGCUGGUCUGAGAGGACGACCAGCCACACUGGAACUGAGACACGGUCCAGACUCCUACGGGAGGAAGCAGUGGGGAAUUUUGGACAAUGGGGGCAACCCUGAUCCAGCCAUUCCGCGUGAGUGAAGAAGGCCUUCGGGUUGUAAAGCUCUUUCGGCAGGAACGAAACGGUCGUCUCUAACAUAGAUGGCUACUGACGGUACCUGAAGAAUAAGCAUCGGCUAACUUCGUGCCAGCCGCCGCAGUAA